GAUGAACGCUGGCGGCGUGCCUAAUACAUGCAAGUCGAGCGAACAGACGAGGAGCUUGCUCCUCUGACGUUAGCGGCGGACGGGUGAGUAACACGUGGAUAACCUACCUAUAAGACUGGGAUAACUUCGGGAAACCGGAGCUAAUACCGGAUAAUAUAUUGAACCGCAUGGUUCAAUAGUGAAAGACGGCUUUGCUGUCACUUAUAGAUGGAUCCGCGCCGCAUUAGCUAGUUGGUAAGGUAACGGCUUACCAAGGCGACGAUGCGUAGCCGACCUGAGAGGGUGAUCGGCCACACUGGAACUGAGACACGGUCCAGACUCCUACGGGAGGCAGCAGUAGGGAAUCUUCCGCAAUGGGCGAAAGCCUGACGGAGCAACGCCGCGUGGGUGAUGAAGGUCUUCGGAUCGUAAAACUCUGUUAUUAGGGAAGAACAAAUGUGUAAGUAACUAUGCACGUCUUGACGGUACCUAAUCAGAAAGCCACGGCUAACUACGUG
rnacentral:rRNA from 1 species